rnacentral:rRNA from 1 species
UACGUAGGGUGCAAGCGUUAAUCGGAAUUACUGGGCGUAAAGCGUGCGCAGGCGGUUGUGCAAGACAGGUGUGAAAUCCCCGGGCUUAACCUGGGAACUGCACUUGUGACUGCACGGCUGGAGUACGGCAGAGGGGGAUGGAAUUCCGCGUGUAGCAGUGAAAUGCGUAGAUAUGCGGAGGAACACCGAUGGCGAAGGCAAUCCCCUGGGCCUGUACUGACGCUCAUGCACGAAAGCGUGGGGAGCAAACAGGAUUAGAUACCCUGGUAGUCCACGCCCUAAACGAUGUCAACUGGUUGUUGGGAGGGUUUCUUCUCAGUAACGAAGCUAACGCGUGAAGUUGACCGCCUGGGGAGUACGGCCGCAAGGUUGAA